GAUGAACGCCGGCGGCGUGCCUAAUACAUGCAAGUCGAGCGAACGGACGAGAAGCUUGCUUCUCUGAUGUUAGCGGCGGACGGGUGAGUAACACGUGGAUAACCUACCUAUAAGACUGGGAUAACUUCGGGAAACCGGAGCUAGUACCGGAUGAUAUUUUGAACCGCAUGGUUCAAAAGUGAAAGACGGUCUUGCUGUCACUUAUAGAUGGAUCCGCGCUGCAUUAGCUAGUUGGUAAGGUAACGGCUUACCAAGGCAACGAUGCAUAGCCGACCUGAGAGGGUGAUCGGCCACACUGGAACUGAGACACGGUCCAGACUCCUACGGGAGGCAGCAGUAGGGAAUCUUCCGCAAUGGGCGAAAGCCUGACGGAGCAACGCCGCGUGAGUGAUGAAGGUCUUCGGAUCGUAAAACUCUGUUAUUAGGGAAGAACAUAUGUGUAAGUAACUGUGCACAUCUUGACGGUACCUAAUCAGAAAGCCACGGCUAACUACGUG
rnacentral:rRNA from 1 species